GGGGGAGUGGGGGCUCACAGGCCUGCUGAGGAUGACUGUGCCCGCGCGUGCCAGGAGAGGGAGCGUGCCACGGCGGGGGCGCGCGGGGGCCGUGGUCGGGAGGGGGUCGCGGCGCGCGGCCGCGGAGGCGCGGGGAGACAAGGAGGGAGGGGGAGGGGAGCGAGGGCGCGCGCGGCCGGGCGGGCGCCCGCGGUCACAUGGGCGAGGGAAGGAGGGAGGGAGCGCGCGAGGGAGGGAGGAGGAUGGGGGGGGUUAAAGCCGCCGAGCGCCGAGGAGCCGGUGCAGAGCGGGCGGCGGCGGCAGCGGAGGCAGCGGCUCCAGCCGGCGCAGCGCGGGGCUCGGCGGCGGGAUCCGGCGGCGGUGCUAGCUCCGCGCUCCCUGCCUCUCUCCCUGCCGGGGGCGGUCGAAGAGCUAGGCGCGGAGCCCCGGCGGUCCGAGGGCGCGAAGUCUCCGGAAGAGCCUGGUCUGGAGGAAGAGGAGGACAUUGAUGUGCUCGGUGUGCAGCGGUUGGUGAAGAGGUAUGUGCUGGGGGCCUGGGGGAGGCAGGUCAGUUUCAGGGCAUCUGGCAGGUGCCAUGGGGGCCGUAGGUCUGGGGAUGUGAGUGAAGGAGGGUCUGAGAUCCUUCCUGUUCUUCCCCUAUCCUUCCUCCUGAGGCUUUUCAUGCCCCAUGACAGGCCUAUAAAGGGAGAGACUUACCCACCAUCACACAGGCAAGGCAAAGCCAGGUCAGAAAACUGAGUUCUGCACUGCUGAGAC
rnacentral:lncRNA from 1 species